UCAUCAUCCCUUUGAGCUUGUUGAUCUUCAUUGUAUUGGUGACCCUGUUCAUCUGGUUGCUGUUGAAAAAGCACCAGCAGAACAAAUCAGCAUCAUUAACCAUGACAGCGGCUGAAGAGGAAGUAACAUACGCUAAUGUUGGGCAAGUGAGGAAACCUUCAAGCCAGACAUCAUAUACUGAAAGUGAUGUGGACGUGAUAUAUAGCUCUGUGGUUGCCAUAAGGCAAAAAAGUGUACGAGGGGUUCAAGCAAUUGAUGAGAAUGUUACAUACAGCACAUUGGCUUAGCUUCAGCACAGCUUAAUGCACAUUGUCUUUGUUUGUCUGUUUGCCUUUUAAUCUAUUUGGCUCUUGUUGGAAGACUUUUUUAAAUGAGAGUGUCACAGUGUGUUGUCCUACGUUAUCAUUUGGUUGUGCAGUGACUUCUCUCUUGGUUUUAUACUUUGUCCAUACUUUCUUCUCUUCUGCUUUUCAAAGACGCAUUGCCUUGCUUGUUUGUCAAGUGUUAGACAGUGACAAUGACUAUGCAAAUCUUGUGUUUACUGUUGUGUUAUUUAUUAGGCCUACAGCUCGCAGUAAGUUAAGUUCAUGGACAUGGAAUGUAUCCAUUCAAGUUGACUCUUAUACAAUACAUAGAAUCUUCAUCUGUUAGUUGUGUUUUAAUUUCACAACAUUCAAGUCUGCUUCACAAACUUCUGUAUAGCCAAAUAAAGCAGAUACCAGGGCUGCUGUGUGAAGGUUCUUUUUUUUCUGUAAAGAGUGACAGGAAAGUGGGGAGAGGGGAUUACA